rnacentral:rRNA from 1 species
UACAGAGGGGGCAAGCGUUAUUCGGAAUUAUUGGCGUAAAGGGCGCGUAGGCGGCCUGUUAAGUCGGACGUGAAAUCCCUCGGCUCAACCGGGGAACUGCGUCCGAUACUGGCGGGCUUGAAUUCGGGAGAGGGAUGUGGAAUUCCAGGUGUAGCGGUGAAAUGCGUAGAUAUCUGGAGGAACACCGGUGGCGAAGGCGGCAUCCUGGACCGACAUUGACGCUGAGGCGCGAAAGCCAGGGGAGCAAACGGG